AUUGAACGCUGGCGGCAUGCCUUACACAUGCAAGUCGAACGGCAGCACGGGAGCAAUCCUGGUGGCGAGUGGCGAACGGGUGAGUAGUAUAUCGGAACGUGCCCGGUCGUGGGGGAUAACGUAGCGAAAGCUACGCUAAUACCGCAUACGAUCUACGGAUGAAAGCGGGGGAUCGCAAGACCUCGCGCGAUUGGAGCGGCCGAUAUCAGAUUAGGUAGUUGGUGAGGUAAAGGCUCACCAAGCCGACGAUCUGUAGCUGGUCUGAGAGGACGACCAGCCACACUGGGACUGAGACACGGCCCAGACUCCUACGGGAGGCAGCAGUGGGGAAUUUUGGACAAUGGGCGCAAGCCUGAUCCAGCAAUGCCGCGUGCAGGAUGAAGGCCUUCGGGUUGUAAACUGCUUUUGUACGGAACGAAACGGUGAGCUCUAAUACAGUUUGCUAAUGACGGUACCGUAAGAAUAAGCACCGGCUAACUACGUG
rnacentral:rRNA from 1 species